rnacentral:rRNA from 1 species
UACAGAGGUCUCAAGCGUUGUUCGGAUUCAUUGGGCGUAAAGGGUGCGUAGGCGGCGCGGUAAGUCGGGUGUGAAAUCUCCGGGCUUAACUCGGAAAGGUCAACUGAUACUGUGCGGCUAGAGUGCAGAAGGGGCAACUGGAAUUCUCGGUGUAGCGGUGAAAUGCGUAGAUAUCGAGAGGAACACCUGCGGCGAAGGCGGGUUGCUGGGCUGACACUGACGCUGAUGCGCGAAAGCCAGGGGAGCGAACGGG